AUUUCUUCCUACACCGACCGAAUGCCGGUUUAUCAUUCUGAUUAAGUAUGCUUGUUUUAUUUAAGCGUUUUAUUAAUAAGAAUUUCCUUAAAAUUCUUGACGAGGCAAUCACGUGACGCGAUUCUCUUUGACGUUUUGAAUGAAUUGGACUGACUGCAGGGUUCUACUAGGGAGGCUCAGACAUGUCCAAACAAAUUAUGCUGGUCAUAUCCAUCCUCUGUGGUGCUCUGUUUCUUCAGACAAAAGUUUCAGCAUGUGAAAACAUGACAACUGUAUCUUACAACAUGACAACGGAAUCCUACAACAUGACAACAGAAUCCGACAACAUGACAACGGAAUCCCUCAAUAUGACAACAGUGCCAUCCAACAUGACAACCGUGACGUCAACAAAACCGACCAAUGAGCCUCAUCCCAUCACUCCCUCCCCGUCAGGGUCAAAGUUCAGCGUCGGUACGUUCGUUGGGGGUAUAGCCGUGGGGGUCGUUCUGGUCCUCGUCAUUUUGGCGGGAAUUUACUACGUCAGGAAAAGAAACCAACAACAAAAGUAUCAGAUUCUACCAGAGUAGAGAGAGAGAGAGAGAAAGAGAGAGAGAGAGAGAGAUUUGCUUCAUUUUUGUCUUUUGUCUGGUUGAUACGGAUUGCGUUUAGUCAUUUUAUUUAAGAGCAAGUGCGUAUGCCUCUGAUGUACAUAUGUAGGUAAACUGAUGUGUGUUCUUUGACUAGAAAUGCCCUGCGUUUUCUUUAUCUUCUGAACAUUAUGUAACGGCCCUUUAUAAAGUAAAAUUUUAUAUUCAUUUACUUCUUUUGAAAAAUAGUUUACUUCUCUCAAACUGCAGUUUACAGGCUAUUGUGUCACUUACACCGAAAACAUAUUAACACAUUUUUUAUAUCAUGUAUAAAAGGAAUAUUAGUCAUGUGAAGAUGCUAUCUAUGGAAAAAAUGACAGAUUUAGAUAUGCGAUCGAUGAUUCUGUGAUGGAAUAGACAGACUAAUCACGUGAAGAGAGUGUCUACAGGAUGACUAUACUAGUCACGUGUGUGUGGAUAGACAAACUACAUGGUCAUAUUGGAAUAUAACGUUCAUAUGGGAUAGUAUACAGAACCACAUUUGGAGCUAUUCUGACUGAUCAUAAUGUGCUGGAUGUGACGUUAAACAGUCAACACAUCCCGCUGAUACAAACGUUAUAUAAUUGUCAACCAGUGGACUGCGGGGAAACAGCAAGUGUGACCUUCAGUAUGUGUAUGUAUGUGUAUGUAGAGUUCCAUUCCAUAUUUGUAUAGAAGUCUGAGUCUGAUGCAUGGCAUUCAGGUAACACUCAGAUCUUUUAAGUGAGAGAAAAUUAACUCUGUGAUUGAGUGCAUGGACUUAUCACUAAAUAAAAAUCAAAUUUUUUUUCCAUGUGAUCUUUAUCAUACACUUUAUGAAGAAUGCAUGUCAAAAUUGCAAACACAGUUUGGUUUCUCUUAAAAAUGAAGAAC
rnacentral:sRNA from 1 species